rnacentral:misc_RNA from 1 species
GAUGAAGAACGCAGCGAAAUGCGAUAAGUAAUGUGAAUUGCAGAAUUCAGUGAAUCAUCGAAUCUUUGAACGCACAUUGCGCCCGCUAGUAUUCUGGCGGGCAUGCCUGUCCGAGCGUCAUUUCAACCCUCAAGCCCCCGGGCUUGGUGUUGGGGAUCGGCGAGCCUCCGCGCCCGCCGUCCCCUAAAUCUAGUGGCGGUCUCGCUGUAGCUUCCUCUGCGUAGUAGCACUCCUCGCACUGGGAAACAGCGCGGCCACGCCGUUAAACCCCCAACUUCUGAACGUUUGACCUCGGAUCAGGUAGGAAUACCCGCUGAACUUAAGCAUAUCAAUAAGCGGAGGA